rnacentral:rRNA from 1 species
GAUGAACGCUAGCUACAGGCUUAACACAUGCAAGUCGAGGGGUAACGAGAGGAAAGCUUGCCUUCCUUGUCGACGACCGGCGCACGGGUGAGUAACGCGUAUCCAACCUGCCCCCAACUAGGGAAUAACCUUGCGAAAGUAAGACUAAUACCCUAUAAUUUCCUCAGAUGUCAUCUGACGAGGAAUAAAGAUUUAUCGGUUGUGGAUGGGGAUGCGUCUGAUUAGCUUGUUGGCGGGGUAACGGCCCACCAAGGCAACGAUCAGUAGGGGUUCUGAGAGGAAGGUCCCCCACAUUGAAACUGAGACGCGGUCCAAACUCCUACGGGAGGCAGCAGUGAGGAAUAUUGGUCAAUGGGCGGAAGCCUGAACCAGCCAAGUAGCGUGCAGGAUGACGGCCCUAUGGGUUGUAAACUGCUUUUAUACAGGAAUAAAGUUAGCCACGUGUGGUUAUUUGUAGGUACUGUAUGAAUAAGGACCGGCUAAUUCCGUGCCAGCCGCCGCAGUAA